UGUGGCAGUAACGUUUGUUGAUUAAUAAACGGAGUCAUUUUAAGCCCAAGAUUUAUAAACUGUCGUCCUGCUUUAUUUUGGUGUUUUAUGAAGGUUCCUCAUGAAAGUGUGGCUGCAUUUCAUUUAUU